CUGUAUACAGUGGGCAAACUGUCUGCAUGUUUAUCUCUUUCAGAAGACUUCUUAAAGCUUCUCUAAUCCCAAGUAUGUAAACAGUCUAAGAGACCAGUGGCCAGUGGUACAAGGGAUGGAGGCUGCGUCCGAUCAUGGUGACUGUACUGUCAAAUGCAGAAGUACACCUACAGCUUUUCUGCCCAUGUCUUAAGCUCCUUUCACUGCUAAAUAUAGUAUUCUUGACUUUUUAUUCAAGUUCCAUAAUCCAUGCUGGAAUCUGUCCUAUUUUUGAUGCAUGGUUUGAAGAACCUGCAGAAAUGUGCUGGCCUCUUCCCCCUGACCUUCCUGCAAGCAUUUGGAUCUGCUGGGUACCAGGGAUCCUGCGUGUCAAGCAAGGUGAACAAAGCCUGUCAAGGCACUUGCUGAGUGGGAGGUCCUGUUGGACAAAGGGCUACAGAUGGCUGAGCAGAAGUCCUGAAAACAACUGUCUCCAUCAUCUUGGCUGCCCAGAAUCGCUACAGGUAGCACUGCUGCACAUAGAGUUGUAUGAGUGCCCCAGAUGAACAGUCCUUUAAGAAUGAAAAACCAAAACCACACCAGAGAUCCAGGUAAGCCUAACUUCACUGCCACUGAAAGCAUGGCAGAAACGGUUUUAUACUUAAGAGUGAUUUAAUUUUAGGAAGGGGGUGUGAAUUCA
ensembl:lncRNA